rnacentral:snRNA from 11 species
AUACUUACCUGGCUUGGAGGUUACCUUGAUCAAGAAAGAGGUUCGUCCAGGGUGAGGCUCUUCCAUUGCACUUACCCCUGCAAGUAUUCCAAUACAUCGGGCGCGUAAUUUUUGGUAGCUGAGAUUGCGUAUGAUCACAU